rfam:Oryza punctata chromosome 5, whole genome shotgun sequence.
UUAAAGUGCAGUUGUGAAUUUCCGUGUUCAAUAUUUAACCGUUUAUCUCAUUUAUUGUUACUCGAUGAAAAAAUAUAAAUAGUAUUAUACGUAACUUAUUUUUUUAUAAAUAUUUAAAAUAAGAUAGACAGUUAAAUAUUUGAACUCGAAAAUUCACCGCUGCACACACC